GUUUGAAUUGGCAUUUGAAGGCAUUACAACAGUAAGUUAUUUAGAACUUUCAGCCUCAUGAAGGUCUCAUCACCUAAACAAGAUUCCUUGAAGGUGGCUCAACAAAAUGCAAGGCAUCAAAAGUAACAUCUGAUCAGUACGGUUCAAGAAGAAACGAGUGUUGAAUUCUGAUCUUUGUUUUAAAUCAAGAUUACCUUAUUUGACUCAUGCAUCUUCGGCUAAAGCGACAGACCCUGAGUUAGAGGCAGUUAAUCAAAGACUGGCUCGGACAAGCCAAAUCAAGAGGUCUGAGCCAAAUACAAGGAACAAAUGGGACAAUAUUCCUGGUUCUGGAGCCAAGCAACACCCAACACUUGGAAACAAAGACCAAGAAUAGUUAUUUUUAAUUUAACAAUUUAUUCUUUUACUUUACAAAAUUAACACCUAAAUUUUAAAAGCUAGCUUUGGAAAAUAAAUAUGUGUGUUUUAUAAAUAAAACUAUAUUUCAACAA